rnacentral:rRNA from 1 species
UACGUAGGGUCCAAGCGUUGUUCGGAAUUACUGGGCGUAAAGGGCGCGUAGGCGGGCCCGUAUGUCGAUUGUGAAAGCCCUGGGCUCAACCUGGGAAUUGCGAUGGAGACUGCAAGGCUAGAAUCUGGCAGAGGGGGGUAGAAUUCCACGUGUAGCAGUGAAAUGCGUAGAGAUGUGGAGGAACACCGAUGGCGAAGGCAGCCCCCUGGGUCAAGAUUGACGCUCAUGCACGAAAGCGUGGGGAGCAAACAGG